UACGGAGGGGGCCAGCGUUGUUCGGAUUCAUUGGGCGUAAAGGGUGCGUAGGUGGCGUGGUAAGUCGGGUGUGAAAUUUCGGAGCUUAACUCCGAAACUGCAUUCGAUACUGCCGUGCUUGAGGACUGGAGAGGAGACUGGAAUUUACGGUGUAGCAGUGAAAUGCGUAGAGAUCGUAAGGAAGACCAGUGGCGAAGGCGGGUCGUCUGGACAGUUCCUGACACUGAGGCACGAAGGCCAGGGGAGCAAACGGG
rnacentral:rRNA from 1 species